rnacentral:lncRNA from 1 species
CAGGAGAAUCGCACAAGUAGUAAAAUCUCGGGAGUCCGAGGUCGAAUCCUCAGAGAACGAUCUAUAGAUUAUUAGCGAAUUUUUAGAUGUAAUUUUCAGUUAAAUAAAUUUGUGGAUUAAAAUGAUGUUUUGGUUUUCAGAAAUUAAAUGCAAAGAAUAAUAAACAAAAUUCAAUGAAAUAAAGAUGGUAGGGAUCUGGAAUCCCCCUUGAUGAUAUUGCAUCCAAGGAAUAAACUCUAUGGUUCUUGAUUAAAGAUUAAAUGUAGGAUAGAUCUAAUCAUGGUAUAUGUUUCGUGAACAUAUGAACUCAAUUUCUAAGCAU